UUUAAUCCCCAACAGAGUCAAUGUUGAAUCCUGAUAUCUCGCCUGAUAUCUGUCGAUUCUCCCUGAUAUGUACCACCCAUAUGUCAUCCCUAAAAAACCUCACAAGACAUUCUCUAACAAAUAGAACAUGUUGAUGUUGAGUUCUUGCUUUUGUGCAGCAAGCCAUGCUUCCUUCCCCUCCAUCCAUCUUCUCUAUAAGAACAUCUUUCAUCUACUACUCAUUGCGAAUUAAACAAAUAUUUUUUCUUCGUUGAGUCACCAUAACUCACAAAAACCCUAAAUUAGUCGUCUUUAUCUACAAACCCUAAAUCAUGUUGCGCCGAUCCUCCUCUCAAACCGUCCCUCCGAUCAUCACAAUUUAAAAUACAAACUCCUCCACACCGUACACACCAACAUAUCAAGUUACGACCUUUCGUACAACUGUAUCUUUCAGGAAGAAGACGAAGUCGGGAUAAGAGGUGUCAUCAUUACCGAAGUCCUUUUCAAAAUCGCAUCCAAUGUCAUCAGAUCGAACGUAACUACACUCGAUAAGUGAAUCCUUCCAUUAUCAGAAAAACUAAGGUACCUAACAAACAACAUCGCAAGAAAUAUCCGGUCAACGGUGAAUAUCCAACCUUACGUACCAAAUUACAGCAAAUCAGCGGGAAGCAUAUACUAGACGAACUACAGAAAACUCUAGGAAUUUUACUGGUUCACAAGGAGUGGUCUCAGUGGGGAGGCUGUAAUGGGUUAUGAUUUUUGGUGGUGUAGGAUAGUGGUUGGUGGUGAUUAAUAUGGGCUGUGAUGGUGGCAGUAUAAGGUGGUUUUGGUGGUGGGUAUCAUGUCUUUCAAGCCUUCUGCAAGCUAUAUAUAUUCCCUUUGUGGCUGUGAUAUACCCAAAAAUGAUUUGGUGCCCAAACUGCUUCAUUCUUGAUUAUUAUUUGCAAAAUUAUUACUCGCAGUUUUCAUUCAUGAGGAUUUUAAAUUUUACAGGGUAAAAGACACAAGGGACAGAGCUCGACACUAAAGUGAGUGAGACUCUUAUUUCUUGCAUUUUUCAUAGUUACUUUCAUGCCUUUGUGGUUAUGCCAUUUCACUUUGAAUUAAUUCUUAUAGAGAAUGAUUAAUGGUGCAAUAUUGGUGGAGAUGAUGAAGUGCGUAUAGAUGUCUUAAGUCAUUAUAUUCAAGCUAAUGUUGAUGUAUGACCAAUUUUUUAGAUAAUUAUGCAUUAGCAUUGCCACUUCUAUUCUUCACUACAGGGGUAAGAAGGUCAUUUAUGUGAGCAAAUUUUUUCAGGGUGAAGGAAAGCAAAAACAUCUUAAGUUUCUGAAGUUACACAAAUACAUCUUACACAAAUUAUCCUUUUGAUGCAACAGUGAAGGAGAAAUGAUGGGUAGAAUUCAAAGCCAAAGGACAUGAUGAUCCGACCUUCCAAGUAACUCAAAACUCUUUAAGUUUCUAAAGUUAUGAUUGCUGAAAGGGAUAAUUACCAUGAGUUAUGUAUGAUUACCUGUAAUGAUUUUAUUUUGAAUUGUGUUUUCAUAUCUCAAUCCAUUCAUCAUCUACCACCAUCUCUCUAUUUGCCUUUGUCCCCAUCGUUUGCCACCGUCCCCACCAUCAUCGGUCUUUUAGGGUUUACUAUGAUUCCCACCUGAUGUUCAUGCUUGAAAGAAAAGUUGAUCAUAAGCGAUUUUAAAUAUCUUUGGGUGAACGUUUGGAUCAGAUCAACUCAUCCAAGUAGGGGUGAGCAUUUGGAUCGGACCAUAACCGAUGCUAGAACCGUUUUAGAAGGUAUGUAAGGAUCGUGGAUACUACCAAUUGUGGCAAAUUAAUGCCUCUUUUUCCGGUUUUGGACCGGUACAACAUUCAUUGUGUAAAGGCACCCGAUUGAUAUGUAAAAGUUUUGAGCAUAAUGUCAUUGAUGUUGAAUUAGCUGUUGGUAAACAUGUUGGAAAUAGGGUAUUUUUUUCCAAGGAUUCAUUUAUGUCCGUCUGAAGAUGACAUCUUCUCAUUCCAGCUGAAGAGAAGUACUUUGCUAUAUUGCCAUAUAAUGUGAAAGGGCCUGUUAUUGUAACCUGUUGAAGUUUGUAGCUGAUAUCUUGCAGUUAAAAUGUUAAUGUAUAAAAUCUAUCUAUUUUAAGUUCUAUCGGAUCAAACUACGUAGAACUUUUAAAAGCUUUACUAAUCAUAAGACCAACUACUAAUUAAUUAAUUUACCCCAUGUGUAAUCAAUCUUUAUUGAGGCAGUAAGUCUAUUUACACAGGGGAAUGUAACCAUAAAAGAUAAUAUAAUUAUACUCAAUGUUAGUGUUACUGAUGAUGAGACUUGAGAGAGUAUAAGUAAUUAAGGAGCAUGUGGUAAUUGCUAAUAGUGGAAAAAGAGAAUGAUGGAAUUUUCUUUAUCGUAAGGUAUAAACUUAUAGAGGGUGUAUGUGGUGUUU